AAAGAUUAAGCCAUGCAUGUAUAAGUAUAAGCCGAGUUAAGGUGAAACCGCGAAAGGCUCAUUAUAUCAGUUAUAAUUCAAUGGAUCGUACAGCCAAUUACUUGGAUAACUGUGGUAAUUCUAGAGCUAAUACAUGCAAAUUGAAUUCUGAAGUUCCUCAGUAUUCACUGUGUUCUUAUUGUCAUAUGUGUGUAUGCUCUCGCGGGUAUGUGCACAUAGCAAUAUGAAUGGUAAUAUAUGAGAACGUUAGGAAUGCUUUUAUUAGACCAAAACCAACGGGGAUUAUAUUUAUUUAUAAUUCCAAAACAAGCUGUAGUUUAUUAACUUUUUACUUAUUUAAACUCGACUUGAUAAAAUACUAAGUGGUGAAUCUGAAUAACAUUGCUGAUCGUAUGGCCGUUUGUAAAAAAUUAGUGCCGACGACAUAUCUUUCAAAUGUCUGCCUUAUCAACUUGUGAUGGUAGGCUAGUUGCCUACCAUGGUUGUAACGGGUAACGGGGAAUCAGGGUUCGAUUCCGGAGAGGGAGCCUGAGAAACGGCUACCACAUCCAAGGAAGGCAGCAGGCGCGCAAAUUACCCACUCCCGGCUCGGGGAGGUAGUGACGAAAUAUAACGAUACGGGACUCAUCCGAGGCCUCGUGAUCGGAAUGAGAACAAUUUAAAACAUUAUACGACUAACUAUUGGAGGGCAAGUCUGGUGCCAGCAGCCGCGGUAAUUCCAGUUCCAAUAGCGUAUAUUAAAAUUGUUGCGGUUAAAAAGCUCGUAGUCCAACUUGUGUCUCGCACUGUUGGCCCGCAACAUUGCGUUGUGUCUUUUGGCUGACAUGAAUAUAUUUACAUAGAAAUGGAAUAAUGUGGGACUUCAUGUCGGUGGAUUCGGUUAUGUUCGUUGUCACAUAUAUAUUUUUUUUCAUAUAAUAAAAUGUAUAUAUUAUUAUGUUGUCCGUUUGUGCUUAUAUAGUUUAAGUACUUAAACGUUAUAUAAAGUGAUUUUUACAUUUAACACAUAUAUAUGGUUAUAUUGUCGUGAUGUUAUAAUUUUAUAUACAUUUCACACAUAUACCGUUAUAUUGUCCUUGUGUAAUCAUGGCGUUUUUGUUUAAACUUACUCUAUCCCUAACACACGGCAGCACUUGUAAUAUAUAUAAUAUGAUAAUUAUAAAAAAUAUUUGUCGACCGGACACCAAUCCAUAAUUUAAUAAUCCUAUUGCGGUGCUCUUGAAUGAGUGUCGUCGUAGGCCGACACGUUUACUUUGAACAAAUUUGAGUGCUCAAAGCAGGCAAAAAAUUGAAUAGAUUGCGUGCAUGUAUGUGGAUGUUUUUAUGCACUUCGCGUGUAUAAACAAUUGAUAUGUAUGUGUAUGUGAUUAACGUGCCACUGAAAAUUGUGUGCAUGGAAUAAUGGAAUAGGAUCUCGGUUCUAUUUUGUUGGCUUUCGGAAUUUCCGAGAUAAUGAUUAAUACGAACAGUUGGGGGCAUUCGUAUUACGACGUUAGAGGUGAAAUUCUUGGAUCGUCGUAAGACGGACAGUUGCGCAAGCAUUUGCCAAAAAUGUUUUGAUUGAUCAAGAACGAAAGUUAGAGGUUCGAAGGCGAUCAGAUACCGCCCUAGUUCUAACCAUAAACGAUGCCAGCUAGCGAUCCGCCACGGUUCCUCCGAUGACCUGGUGGGAAGCUUCCGGGAAACCAAAGCCUUUGGGUUCCGGGGGAAGUAUGGUUGCAAAGCUGAAACUUAAAGGAAUUGACGGAAGGGCACCACCAGGAGUGGAGCCUGCGGCUUAAUUUGACUCAACACGGGAAAACUCACCAGGCCCGGACACCAGAAGGAUAGACAGAUUAAGAGCUCUUUCUUGAUUUGGUGGGUGGUGGUGCAUGGCCGUUCUUAGUUGGUGGAGUGAUUUGUCUGGUUAAUUCCGAUAACGAACGAGACUCUUACCUCCUAAUUAGACGAGUUACGCCAAAGCCAGUACAUGAUCUAGGUAUUUAAAACAA
rnacentral:rRNA from 1 species